GUUUAGAUGGCCGAGCACUAGGCCAUAAACUGUAAAUUUAUUCACGGAGCUACUACUCCUCUAAACA
rnacentral:tRNA from 1 species